AAUUACUUAAUGUAGAAUAACAUUGUAGGGUAGGUGUGAGAGCCUGGAUCUGGUCAGUUUGAACAUAAAACAGAUUAAAUAUUUUGGCCGGAUAUGACCGGUUUAAAUACUAAAGGGUUAAAUAUAUUCUUCCUUUGAUUUAGGAAGGGAGACUGUGAAUCGAGGAAAGAAAUUGGCUUCUAUUUCUAGAGACUGCAGCAUGUAUGUAGUUGGUGCUUGACCCUUAAAUGUAAUGUUGCAGAUACAGAUUAUCCCUUAAGCAUUAUAUCUGUAUUUAUAAAAUGAUAAAUAAAAGGGACAAGUGGUUUGGAUAUUUAAAAUAUACGGAUGAGAGUGGCAAAAGUUGAGAGAUUGGAAUCAAUGCGUCAGGCAUUGACCAGGAAGGAUAGAUUUGAUUUCAUUGAUUCUUUUAGUUUUGUAGUAGUUUCUCAUUUGACACACACGCAUACACACACACAGUUGUUAGAAUAUAUUGUAAUUAUAAAAUGAAAAUUUUUUUUUUUUUUUAAGCUGUAAAGCUGAAACUGCCAUCUUGUUUUUUUUUUUUAACAUUCUUGAGUUAUUUUGACUGUUGUUUUGAAAGUGAAGUGUUGUUCAUUUUCAUUUUCUGCUGAGAACAUAAGUCUGAAACCCCGUCAUAGUUCUUCCCAUAUCAACAUCACUUUAUCUCUCUCAUACUGGGCGACUCCAACCACUUUGUCAUAUUCUCCAAACACCACUCCCCCCCUGGCAAAAGAUGGAGUUUAUUACAGUCGUAACUUCAAUGUUUAAUGGGGGGGGGUUUAUAAUCUGUCUUAUUGUUUGAGAUGGUAACUACAUAUGUGUGUGUGUGUCUUCAUUAUCCUUUCCAACGUUUCCUUAGCAACAGUAUUAGUGAGUAGGGGCUUGAAGCAUGUGUGUGUGUGUGUGUGUGUGUGUGAAAUAAAAUGGAAAAUCUUUAAAGUGUUUGACAGAAUGUCAUUGUUUUACUGUCUGAGAGAAAAAUGUCAGAUGUGAGUCAAUAUACUUUUUCUCUUAAAGAAGCCACUUUUCUACAUUUUGAGAGGUAAUGGAUGGCUUGAGG